UACGUAGGGUGCGAGCGUUGUCCGGAAUUAUUGGGCGUAAAGGGUGCGUAGGCGGGUCUUUAAGUCAGGGGUGAAAUCCUGGAGCUCAACUCCAGAACUGCCUUUGAUACUGAAGAUCUUGAGUUCGGGAGAGGUGAGUGGAACUGCGAGUGUAGAGGUGAAAUUCGUAGAUAUUCGCAAGAACACCAGUGGCGAAGGCGGCUCACUGGCCCGAUACUGACGCUGAGGCACGAAAGCGUGGGGAGCAACAGGAUUAAGA
rnacentral:rRNA from 1 species